AUAGAGUUAGAAAGUUUUAAAUUGAAAAGAAGAGUUUAAAAGAGAGUUAGUCUGAGAGUUGCAUAGUAACCUGCAUACUUGCUCUCAUCAAAGAUCUUGUAUUCAAUCACUUUCAUAAAUCAAAGUUGUUCUCAAAGUUUCAACUAUUUCAAGAGUAAGCACUGGAAGUAAGCAACUAAACUAUCGAAAGAGGGAAUAACUUCCUAUGGGUCGGUGGGCAUCAGCGUGGGGUCUUCUGAACUCGCGGCUGCGGGGGGAGGAAGAUCUGGCGGGUGGUGCAUGGUGUCUGCCUUCUCCAGGUUUGGUGCGCUUCGUGAGAUGCUGGGUUCGGUGCUGGAGCGGUUUGCUACUGCGUGGAGACGGAGCGGGCAGGGCGCGACGAACUGGCGGCAUGGAUCGGGGCGGCGAGGUCUGGCAGAGCUGCCCAGAAUACUGUUCACGGCGGAGAUGGUGGCUAGGCUUGUCUCAUCCAUUCCAGCUGGACAUGCGUUGGGCCUUUCUUCUGGGGCUACCCUUUGGGCCUAAGUUUUUUACUAGACUGGGCUUUCACUUUGUCAUUUGAGCCAAGUGUUUGGACCUAGGGCUUUAGAUUGUUAGUAGUGUUGCUUUCAAAUAACCCUUUUCUAGGGACUAUGCUUGUUAGGUUUUUUCUUUCGAGCACUAACGAGUAUAGCUUUACUCGGUCUAUUACUGCGUCCUAGAUUAUCGUAGUAAUAGGCUUGCCUUCAUAAGUGAGCACUGAAUGUCUAAUGAGUGGUCUAGUACUGUGUACCGUGUGUUACCUUCACAACCUCUUGUUUAUCUUCGAAUGGUAGCG